GAUCAUGGCUCAGAUUGAACGCUGGCGGCAGGCCUAACACAUGCAAGUCGGACGGUAGCACAGAGGAGCUUGCUCCUUGGGUGACGAGUGGCGGACGGGUGAGUAAUGUCUGGGGAUCUGCCCGAUAGGGGGGGAUAACCACUGGAAACGGUGGCUAAUACCGCAUAACGUCGCAAGACCAAAGAGGGGGACCUUCGGGACUCUCACUAUCGGAUGAACCCAGAUGGGAUUAGCUAGUAGGCGGGG
rnacentral:rRNA from 1 species